CAUGCAGAUGGUUUUCCUUUUGUUUUCGCUCAUGGGUGUUGCUUUCGGUCUUGAGGUCCGUCAGUCCCGCUCCGACAUCAUCGUGAAACCUGGAGAAAAAGUUCACAUCUUCUGCACCCACGAGAAAACGGACUACUGGAUAAUGCUCUGGUACCGGCGGCCGCCUGCAGACACGGCUCUGAAAUUAAUCGGACAUUUGUACAUGAGCGACAUCAAGAUGGAGGACGAAGACGACCGGAACGUCCAAAUCGAUGGAGACUUGAGCGGCAGCACAGCAAAGAAUUCCUCUCUGGUGAUCAACGUUGUGGAUCCGAAUCACUCGGCUGUUUACUACUGCGCAGCACGAGAAGCACACUGAGGAAGAAUCCUGCCUGUGCUUUACAAAAACCUGCUUUAUCACCAUCAUCAGUGGUUUGGCAGAAGAAUUUGGGGAAAAAAAACAAAACUGCUCUCAAGCACCUGCUUCUCUCUGUUUUGAAAAUUGAGCAUCUUCAUGCUAAAAAGUGACAUUGUUCUAUUAAAAAAAUUAAGUAAAAAAAAAAGAAUUCCUAAAACCAAAACUCGCCCAAAGAUAGUAGCUAAUAAAUUAGACCUAAGCUUUACAGAGAACUAGGUUAAUCAAAGUUUAUUUCUAAAGUUUAUUUCUCAAUCUACUAAAAAA